GGGGCGGAAUCGCUGAGCUGCCGCAAAUCCGGAUCCUUUCCCGCUUCACCGGCGACUUGAAGCCGGUGGUCAGGGAUGCAGAGGGGAUGGAUCAUGGAUGGGGAAGCGCAACGCAACCCUUGGCGGCUUGGCGCCCGGCCGCGCGGCCCGCUUGUCAACAAUGGAGGUACGUGCGCGGUUCUUGCUGCUGUCUUCGUAGCUGGUUCAUCAGCGGGGAGCCGGAGACCGCCAAGGAACCAAAAAUGAACUCACCAGACGGCAGCUGCCACGUCAAGAGGAAGCCAUUGCUGAUGAGUUGCUCAUAGUUGCUUGCGUUCACCUUGCCGAAUGUCCCCAGCACUGGCACAAGAGUAGUGCUACAGCCCUCCACUGAGUACUGCGUAUAGUUGCUCGAGUCAUUGUAAUGCCCUCCAACUGCAACACGAACAAACAAGCUGCUGCUGCAUUUCGUCUCCACAAGCCCCCUAUCCGCCUCUGGUAUCUUGGUGCAGUUGUAGAAGAUGAGGUUCAGAUUGACAGGGCUGAUCGAGAAUGGAAGGCCGACUUUGGAGGAGGUAUUAGCAGUCAGAACAUGACAGCCUUUUGAGUCGGAUGUGCUGAAAUCUGCAACCUUGUGGAUAUCGGCGACAAGCAAGGAGCUGUUGUCAUAGAAGAUAUCGAGGAUCCGGAACCGGUACUUACGCCGGUAGUACCCGAGGUAUGGGAUGCUGUUGUUGCAAUGGACCUCGAAGCCCAUCCGGCCGCAUUUCGUGUCGGUUGCCUGCUCCGGGACGAAUCCGAAUGGGUCUGCAAUUGUCAGGUUGCCGCAUGUCUUGGGUGAGCAGUUAGCCCCUUGAUCAACUGGUUCAACGGCUGCUGCUAUCUGUGAAAGAGUCAUGCACAGCAAGAACAAGCUGAUGGAGGACAUCGGAGCAGAGGUGAUAAAAGCGUGGAGAUAAGAGUUCAGAGAUGCACAUAAGGAGGUAGGAAUGGGGUGGAUAUGAAGUACUUGUUGGCUGGCCGAUCAAUGAGCGAUGGAGUGCCCGAAGGGCAAGUCUUGAUCAUGGAGAUUUUUUUUUCUUUUUGAAAUGUUGACCGUGGAGUUGAGACGGCUGAAGUGAAGUCUGAACCACAACCACUGCACAGUGACUGAUCGAGUAUGCUUUUUGAUCACAACGUCAUGGUCGUAUUUGGCUAGCUUAGUCCAGUCACCGUCAUGAGCUUCUAGUCCUUUCUCCUUCAGUCCUUUGUUCCAUCUACGUAAGCUUAAAGUCUUGUUCGCUGCACCUGGUUGCGGCGACGCCGGGACUGUACAGCCGAAACCAAUUCUAGGACGACGAUGCUGACGGCCGAUCAAUGACUUACGUAAGCUAAUCCGAGUAUUAGCAAUUCCAGGGCCAUGGAAGGAUGCAACAGCAGCUGGGUACGCCUUGGAGGGGGUUUGCUUCUUGGCUGUCUCUGAAAAAGGAUGUUUGGGCUCAUUCUGACCAUCCCGAGGCCUUUUCUUGGCCCCCUUCCGCCCUGGCGCAGACACCGGGGCUGCUGCAGUUGCCGUCUCGGCGUCUCGCCGUCGAGAGGCGCGGCGGCGGCGGCGGCGGCGGACACUGGACACAUGCGCGAACCACCACUAGUGCCGCCAUCCCCUACCGCGCGCGCAACCGCAGCUGCUACCCCGCGCGCCUGGGGCCUGUGGUCAGAGCAGCAGGCAGGCUGACGCAAUCUCGCCUUGCGCCGUCGAUGGCGCAAAGACGCAAAACCUUUCUGGGUCACCCGCCUGCCCUAGCUCGUUCUCUUCAUCCAAGGACCGAACAAGCAGUGUGACCUCCCAAGGAACCAAGCAGGGAACAUGUCAGCAUUCAAGUGAAACGUGUCAGUAUAUGAUCAUUAGAUGAUGGAACAAACUAUAAUAACCUUGAUUUGAAUGGGUGCUGUUUUUAUCAUGCUGAGUUCCAACUCACUGUAGCAUGUGGGCCAAGCUCGGUCAACACAACCUUACUAGAUGAUGUGACGCCAUCGGGGUAGCGGCAACCCUCGCAGCGCUCCGGGAAGUACUCAAGCAUAAACCCUGCCUCCAUGAUCCGCUGAUAGUCCGCCCCCAUAGCCCCGUCGUAUGCCAUCACCGGCACCAUCGACACGCUGCAGUUCCCCGGCAGUGUCAUCGAGACGUCGUCGGGCCUGUACUGGCCAGAAAGCCAGGCGAAGGAGCCAUUCGCGCUGCAGCUCAGUGGCGCCCAAGAAGGAGGCAGCUGCUGUGCUCGCAGGUUGCAGCCGUGGAGGAAGAACAGCUCCUGGUUCAUUUCGGAGCUCACGUAGAACGGCUCGAGGACGGAGGAGGCGUUGGCCAACUUCUCGAUGUUGCAAGCGCCAUCCAACAGGUCGGUGUUGGCGACUCUUAUAAGCUUCAUUUCGUAGAAGAUGGCCUGGAUUCGGUAUGUCCAGAGCGAGUUCUUGAAAUAGCAGGUGGCGUUGUCACAUGUCACCUGGAAGGCUUGGUGGCCGCCGCACUCCGGCGAAUGCGUGCCGGCGAGCCAGAACGGGUAGGCGAUGCUCAGGUCCCCGCACCACGCCGGUGCGCAGGGCGCCGUCGUGCUCGGAGCCGGGGCGCCUGUCGUGGUGGAUCUGGUUUGGGGAAUGAGCAGUAGCAGGGCCAAGCACAGCGAGGUAGCAGGAGAUAGGAGCAUCAUCUUGGCAACGCAAUGGCAAAGGAGAGUAUUGCAGGCUUGCAGCUGCUGGAAGAUUGCUCGUUCAGUUGGAGUAGGCGACAACAUGCUAGUCAGGAGUGAGAGCGUGCAAUUGAAUGAUGUUGCAACGAAUUCAAGUAUUCAACUAUGGCGGGCGUACAUUUCCUUUCGAUAUUUUGUAAUGUACUAUUGUUUCCUUCUGCUUUUUAAAUUAAAGCAAGGUUUGACCCCUUGUGA